rnacentral:rRNA from 1 species
UACGUAGGGCGCAAGCGUUGUCCGGAAUUAUUGGGCGUAAAGAGCUCGUAGGCGGCUUGUCACGUCGGGUGUGAAAGCCCGGGGCUCAACCCCGGGUCUGCAUUCGAUACGGGCUAGUUAGAGUGUGGUAGGGGAGAUCGGAAUUCCUGGUGUAGCGGUGAAAUGCGCAGAUAUCAGGAGGAACACCGGUGGCGAAGGCGGGUCUCUGGGCCAUUACUGACGCUGAGGAGCGAAAGCGUGGGGAGCGAACAGG